rnacentral:rRNA from 1 species
AUUGAACGCUGGCGGCAUGCCUAACACAUGCAAGUCGAACGAGUGGCGGACGGGUGAGUAAUUUCUGGGAAACUGCCUGACGGAGGGGGAUAACUACUGGAAACGGUAGCUAAUACCGCAUACCAUCGGAUGUGCCCAGAGUGGAUUAGCUAGUAGGUGGGGUAACGGCUCACCUAGGCGACGAUCCCUAGCUGGCCUGAGAGGAUGACCGGCCACACUGGAACUGAGACACGGUCCAGACUCCUACGGGAGGCAGCAGUAGGGAAUCUUGGGCAAUGGACGAAAGUCUGAUGCAGCCAGGCCGCGUGUGUGAAGAAGGCCUUCGGAUUGUAAAGCACUUUCGGCGGGGAAGCGUUACCUGACGAAGAAGCACCGGCUAACUCCGUGCCAGCAGCCGCGGUAAUAC